rnacentral:tRNA from 1 species
GGGGUUACAGCUCAGUUGGUAGAGUGCUUGUUUAGCCUGCACAAGUCCUUGGGUUCAAUCCCCAACACUACCCCCC